AUGGGGAUCUUGGGGUGGCCGUGGGGCUCCUCGGGUGGCCAUGGGGCUCUUGGAGUGGCCGUGGGGUUCAUGGGGUGGCCAUGGGGCUCUUGGGUUGGCCAUGGGGUCAUGGGGUGGCCAUGGGGUUCAUGGGGUGGCCAUGGGGCUCUUGGGUGGCUAUGGGGCUCUUGGGUGGACAUGGAAGGACCACUGGUGGCCAUGGGGUUCAUGGGGUGGCCAUGGGGUUCAUGGGGUUGCCGUGGGGCUUUUGGGUUGACAUGGAGGGACCAUUGGUGGCCAUGGGGUCAUGGGGUGGCCAUGGGGUUCAUGGGGUGGCCAUGGUUUUCUAGAGUGGCCAUGGGGCUCUUGGGGUGGCCGUGGGGUUCAUGUGGUGGCCAUGGGGCUCAUGGGGUGGCCAUGGGGCCUUUGGGGAGGCUGUGGGGUUCAUGGGGUGGCCGUGAGGUUCAUGGGGUGGCCGUCGGGCUUUUGGGGUGGCCAAGGGGUAUAUGGGGUGGCCACGGGGUUCUUGGGUGGCCAUGGGGCUCGUGGAGUGCCUGGAGGGAAGAACAAAGACUACGUGGUGGACCCAAAGGGGCUUUUGGUAGCCACAGCACCCAGGUAGCCACAGUGGGCACUUUGGUAGCCACAAGGGGCCCUUUGGUAGCUACAAGGGACCCUUUAGUAGCCACAGCAACCUUUGGUAGCCAUGUGGGGCCCUUUAGUAGCCACAGCAACCUUUGGUAGCCACAUGGGGCCCUUUAGUAGCCACGGCAACCUUUGGUAGCCACAUGGGGCCCUUUAGUAGACCCAGCACCGUUUGACAGCCCCAGCAUCCUUUGUUAGCCACAAGGGGCCCUUUGGUAGCCACAGCAUCCUUUAGUAGCCCAAGAACCCUUUAGUAGCCAUGUGGAGCCCUUUAGUAGACCCAGCACCGUUUGACAGCCCCAGCACCCUUUGUUAGCCACAAUGGCCCCUUUAGUAGCCACAGCAUCCUUUAGUAGCCACAGCAACCUUUGUUAGCCACAAGGCCCCUUUAGUAGCCACAGCAUCCUUUAUUAGCCCAAGAACCCUUCGGUAGCCACAAGGACCCCUUUGGUAGCCACAGCAACCUUUAGUAGCCCAAGAACCCUUUAGUAGCCACAAGGCCUCUUUAGUAGCCACAGCAACCUUUGGUAGCCACGUGGGGCCCUUCAGUAGCCCCAGCACCAUUUGACAGCCCCAGCACCCUUUGUUAGCCACAAGGCCCCUUUAGUAGCCACAGCAACCUUUAGUAGCCCAAGAACCCUUUGGUAGCCACAAGGGCCCCUUUGGUAGCCACAGCAACCUUUAGUAGUCCAAGAACCCUUCAGUAGCCACGUGGGGCCCUUUGGUAGCCACAAGGGACCCUUUAGUAGCCACAGCAACCCUUGUUAGCCACGUGGGGCCCUUUAGUAGCCCCAGCACCGUUUGACAGCCCCAGCACCCUUUGUUAGCCACAAGGGGCCCCUUUAGUAGCCACAGCAACCUUUAGUAGCCACAGCACCCUUUGGUAGCCACGUGGGGCCCUUUAGUAGCCACAGCAUCCUUUAGUAGCCCAAGAACCCUUCGGUAGCCACAAGGGCCCCUUUGGUAGCCACAGCAUCCUUUAGUAGCCCCAGCACCCUUUGUUAGCCACAAGGGCCCCUUUGGUAGCCACAGCAACCUUUAUUAGCCCAAGAACCCUUCGGUAGCCACAAGGGCCCCUUUGGUAGCCACAGCAUCCUUU
ensembl:lncRNA